CCUACGGGAGGCAGCAGUGGGGAAUCUUGCGCAAUGGGCGAAAGCCUGACGCAGCAACGCCGCGUGCGGGAUGAAGGCCUUCGGGCUGUAAACCGCUUUCAGCAGGAACGAAAAUGACGGUACCUGCAGAAGAAGGAGCGGCCAACUACGUGCCAGCAGCCGCGGUGACACGUAGGCUCCAAGCGUUGUCCGGAUUUAUUGGGCGUAAAGAGCUCGUAGGCGGUCUAAUAAGUCGGGUGUGAAAACUCUGGGCUCAACCCGGAGACGCCAUCCGAUACUGUUAUGACUUGAGUUCAGGAGGGGAGCGGGGAAUUCCUAGUGUAGCGGUGAAAUGCGCAGAUAUUAGGAGGAACACCGGUGGCGAAGGCGCCGCUCUGGACUGAAACUGACGCUGAGGAGCGAAAGCAUGGGUAGCAAACAGGAUUAGAUACCCUGGUAGUCCAUGCCGUAAACGGUGGGCACUAGGUGUGGGUUUCAACUAACGAAAUCCGCGCGUCGCUAACGCAUUAAGUGCCCGCCUGGGAGUCGGUCGCAAGCUAAACUCAAAUGAAUUGACG
rnacentral:rRNA from 1 species